UUUAUUUCUUUUUAUUUUUUGUUUUUAUUGCUGAGAAAUGUGAUCGCCAUGCAUUUGCAUGCAUCCUUGGAUGAUAAAUUGCAGAGUUGUUGAAGUUAAAUAUGAGUAGUUUGGGGUGUCACAAAAUAUGAUGUAAGGUCUUACUGGAUGUUCAGCGCAUAUCUUCUCCCCAUGCCCAAUGUUCAGCACCAUCUGGAAAGCAAUCUGCUGAGAACUGGGGGUUCUUCAUGCACAAUCCUUUUUCGACUAUCUCUGCACUGAAUGGGUCCAGCAGAACUUUGCUAAGAACAGCCGGCACAUUAUACUAAUGGUGCUCGUAGCCGUGGCUUGGUCUUGUUAAAGAGAAAGGAACGCCAGACUUUUCCUUAACAAACACAGACCCAUUGCCUCAAUUGCGACUGAAGCACUGCAUACAUUCAAUGGUUGGUCACUAAUCUGUAGACACAGCACUCUUGCAGAUUUUGCUGUGGACUAGGGUGAGGCAUGUUCGCAAUCAUCUGGUCGACCUCUGAAUUCUACCUGCACCUUUUUGGUAUCUCUAGCAAUUGAAGAUGACAGGUGGCAGGGGCUUUGGCACAGACUCUGGCACAGCACUGGCUCUGUCAUGAAUUUCUCUCUGCUACUGGAAAACUGCUGGUGUCAUCCCCAACUCCCUUACUUGGAUGGCUGAAAACUCUAGUCACUGGGUCUUCUUUCGACCGGCUCAUGGCUAAGGAGAAUGAAGAGCUGUAGAAUGAUGAGAUUGCUCCUGGGGCUUUACACAUUUGAGGUUCUUGAUGCUGGAGAUGCUCCCAAUUUUGGUUCAUCAAUUCUCUGCUAAUGUAAUUGAUCACUUGAUCUCACUUCUUUUGUAAAUACUUUUUCAUCUUCAAUAAAAGUCGGGUGGCUAUUUACUUAGCAUACUUUUCCAUCAAAAAAAGAUCUUACUAGAUGUUACCACGCUUGUGUAAUUCUGUUUCCUUUUCUUACUAUUGCAGCCUGCAAUCUGAGCUGAGGGUAGGUAUUUCUAGUUGUCCUCACUCUCUCUCUCUCUCUCAAAAUAAUUAGACAAUCUUCUUAUGACGCCAAUAUGGUUAUCUUAUUGGAUUCUUA
rnacentral:lncRNA from 1 species